AUGGUCAUCCAUGCACCACGACAAAUAGAUGUUGACAGCCCUGACGUAAAUGCCACCAUUUCCUGCAUGGCUGCGCACCUGCAUACUGCAAGCACUACCAUCCAGUGGUUUAAGGACGGAAACAUACUUGACUCUGGCUUCACCACCACUGGACCACUCUCUGUGGGUUCUAGUGGCUACAGCAUCUUCAGUGAGCUCACAGUCAGUAAGAAAGACUGGAGCACUGGGAAAAUAUUCUCCUGCAGGGUGCAUAAUGAGAUGUUCAGCAACAUUCAGAACAUAAGCAACUCCGGCUGUGACCCUGUGGAGGUCCAUGUGGAGACCAUCCCACCAUCCUUCAUUGAUAUUUUCCUGACCAAGUCAGCCAAGCUGACCUGCAGAAUCUCCAACCUCCCCUACAUGGAGGAUCAGCAAGAACUGAAUGUCACGUGGACAAGAGCAUCUGACAAGAAGGAGCUGGAGACCAUAAUUGGAGAAGCUAAGAAGCAAGAAAACAGUGACACAUUUUUUGUGGAUGCAACAGCCACCAUUUGCAAAGAGGAGUGGGAAAGCGAGGAUACCUUUGAGUGCAAAGUUACGCAUCCACUUCUUCCCACAGCUAAAACAACAACACUGACAAAGCUUCAUGGAGGUACUCCCAGUCCUCCAGCUGUCUAUGUCCACCCCCCAACCCCGGAAGAACUGGCUUUGCGGGAAACAGCCACCGUCAGUUGUCUGCUGAAAAGUUUCUACCCCAAAGACGCCUUUGUAAAAUGGCUCCGAAAUAAUGAGCUCAUAGAAGUUGGGUACUUCACCAGCAAUCCCGUACAGGAAUCCAAGUCCCCCGAGCGGUACUUUACCUAUAGCAUGUUGAACAUCAACGAGCAGGACUGGAGUAAUGGAGACACUUACACUUGCGUGGUGGGACAUGAGGCGCUUCCCCUCCAGACAAUUCAGAAGACUGUCGACAAGAACACGGGUAAACCCACCUUUGUCAAUGUCUCCCUUGUGCUCUCCGACAUGACCUCCACUUGCUACUGACCACCGUUGCCAUGCCUGCUAAAGCACCCUCCAUCCCUGUGUUUCUACCAGCAUCUUCCUCUUGUUGCAUGUCCUCUUGUCCAAUUGUUAGAUCUUUAUUAUUACUAGAUGGUAAGGAAGAGCAAUUUGGGGUGUCUGAAAGGAUGCAUCUUAGACAUCAAGUCAUCGAUGAGCUGCGUCUUUUCAAAAAAAAGA